GCCUCGUGAAUUCAUCUCCGGGGGUAGAGCACUGUUUCGGCUAGGGGGCCAUCCCGGCUUACCAACCCGAUGCAAACUGCGAAUACCGGAGAAUGUUAUCACGGGAGACACACGGCGGGUGCUAACGUCCGUCGUGAAGAGGGAAACAACCCAGACCGCCAGCUAAGGUCCCAAAGUCAUGGUUAAGUGGGAAACGAUGUGGGAAGGCCCAGACAGCCAGGAUGUUGGCUUAGAAGCAGCCAUCAUUUAAAGAAAGCGUAAUAGCUCACUGGUCGAGUCGGCCUGCGCG
rnacentral:rRNA from 1 species